rnacentral:rRNA from 1 species
AGAGUUUGAUCAUGGCUCAGAUUGAACGCUGGCGGCAGGCCUAACACAUGCAAGUCGAGCGGUAGCACAGAGAGCUUGCUCUCGGGUGACGAGCGGCGGACGGGUGAGUAAUGUCUGGGAAACUGCCUGAUGGAGGGGGAUAACUACUGGAAACGGUAGCUAAUACCGCAUAACGUCGCAAGACCAAAGUGGGGGACCUUCGGGCCUCAUGCCAUCAGAUGUGCCCAGAUGGGAUUAGCUAGUAGGUGGGGUAACGGCUCACCUAGGCGACGAUCCCUAGCUGGUCUGAGAGGAUGACCAGCCACACUGGAACUGAGACACGGUCCAGACUCCUACGGGAGGCAGCAGUGGGGAAUAUUGCACAAUGGGCGCAAGCCUGAUGCAGCCAUGCCGCGUGUGUGAAGAAGGCCUUCGGGUUGUAAAGCACUUUCAGCGGGGAGGAAGGCGAUAAGGUUAAUAACCUUGUCGAUUGACGUUACCCGCAGAAGAAGCACCGGCUAACUCCGUGCCAGCAGCCGCGGUAAUACGGAGGGUGCAAGCGUUAAUCGGAAUUACUGGGCGUAAAGCGCACGCAGGCGGUCUGUCAAGUCGGAUGUGAAAUCCCCGGGCUUAACCUGGGAACUGCAUUCGAAACUGGCAGGCUAGAGUCUUGUAGAGGGGGGUAGAAUUCCAGGUGUAGCGGUGAAAUGCGUAGAGAUCUGGAGGAAUACCGGUGGCGAAGGCGGCCCCCUGGACAAAGACUGACGCUCAGGUGCGAAAGCGUGGAGAGCAAACAGGAUUAGAUACCCUGGUAGUCCACGCCGUAAACGAUGUCGAUUUGGAGGUUGUGCCCUUGAGGCGUGGCUUCCGGAGCUAACGCGUUAAAUCGACCGCCUGGGGAGUACGGCCGCAAGGUUAAAACUCAAAUGAAUUGACGG